rnacentral:rRNA from 1 species
CUUGCUCUCGGGUGACGAGCGGCGGACGGGUGAGUAAUGUCUGGGAAACUGCCUGAUGGAGGGGGAUAACUACUGGAAACGGUAGCUAAUACCGCAUAACGUCGCAAGACCAAAGAGGGGGACCUUCGGGCCUCUUGCCAUCAGAUGUGCCCAGAUGGGAUUAGCUAGUAGGUGGGGUAAUGGCUCACCUAGGCGACGAUCCCUAGCUGGUCUGAGAGGAUGACCAGCCACACUGGAACUGAGACACGGUCCAGACUCCUACGGGAGGCAGCAGUGGGGAAUAUUGCACAAUGGGCGCAAGCCUGAUGCAGCCAUGCCGCGUGUAUGAAGAAGGCCUUCGGGUUGUAAAGUACUUUCAGCGAGGAGGAAGGCAUUGUGGUUAAUAACCGCAGUGAUUGACGUUACUCGCAGAAGAAGCACCGGCUAACUCCGUGCCAGCAGCCGCGGUAAUACGGAGGGUGCAAGCGUUAAUCGGAAUUACUGGGCGUAAAGCGCACGCAGGCGGUCUGUCAAGUCGGAUGUGAAAUCCCCGGGCUCAACCUGGGAACUGCAUUCGAAACUGGC